GACGAAGGUGGCUAGCGUUGCUCGGAUUUACUGGGCGUAAAGGGCGCGUAGGCGGCCUUCUAAGUCGAACGUGAAAUCCCUGGGCUCAACCCAGGAACUGCGUCCGAUACUGAAAGGCUUGAAUCCGGGAGAGGGAUGCGGAAUUCCAGGUGUAGCGGUGAAAUGCGUAGAUAUCGAGAGGAACACCUGCGGCGAAGGCGGGUUGCUGGGCCGACACUGACGCUGAUGCGCGAAAGCCAGGGGAGCGAACGGG
rnacentral:rRNA from 1 species